rnacentral:lncRNA from 1 species
CUCACCCUCAGUAUUUAGAUGAUACAAGUUCUUCAAGUUUAGUUUUCCUCUGUGCAGCUGUGUCUUCAUCUUUCUCAAUUAGAGAAGCAACAUUAGAGUUCCUUGGGGGAGACUAUGACAGAAAGCCGAUAUCCUCUGUACUGAGCAAUGAAUGCUGGAGAUAUAAAGAAAUUCAGGCUGUGUCUCCAUCAGAUCUGUCCAUGAUCAUUCUUUGCUACAGCCUGGUGCUCUCUCACCUUUACAUUAUUUCAAGGCCGUGUCUGACAACUUGACUUUGUUACUUCAGAGUAGAAGGUGUCUGAGACUGUUUUUGAUAUCAUCUUUACAUGGGAGUUGGUUGGUUAAAGGACACAUCGCCCAGACGUUGAUGGAGCUAGAGGACCUAUCCUGGACAUCAUGUACAGAGAAGAUGGAUCCCGGGAGCUGCUGGAGCCAGUAGGACCAGGCAUGCAGAGGAGAUAGAUGCAGGCAGCUGAUGGAACCAGGAGGACCAGUCAUGAAAUGGAGAUGGAUGAAGUCAGCUGAUGGAGCCAAGAGGACCAGUGAUGCAGAGAAGAUUGAUCCAAUGAGCCAAUGGAAUCUGGAGGACCAGACAGGGCCU